GCAAGAAGUAACUUAGAUUUUUUACAUUAAAUGUUGUGAAGUAAUUUUAAUGAGUACCUGUGGUAAUAACAACAUUGAUUUUUCAAAUAAAAACCUACACGUUUUGAUAACUACGCUAAUUUAUUUUUGUGAAAAUUAUGAUGUAUUAAAAUCGACAUAUUUCUGAGUUGAAAUCUGUUUUGAAUACUAAGAAUAAUAGUCUUUUAGGGUGAUUAAAUACCAAUUGUUUCAAGCAUAUAAAUAAUUUCUUGUUUUGAAUUGUGCAGUUAUUAU